GUCUCUUCCAACUCUAUGAUUCUAUGAUUCUAUGAUUCUAAAAGGCCAUAGAAUCGUAGAAUUGGAAAAGAC